ACCAGUGUCGUUUCUUGGCGAGAUUUUUUGCCCUCCUACAUUGAUUCUAUACUUUGUCUCCAGGGCAGAGCCAGCGUAGAUCAAAGACGUGUAAUGUAGAUUGGUUGGAAUGAAAAGUAUCUCAAUUCCAUUGAUGAAAGCAUAGGAGUUUGGUUGAGACGGGAUAUGAUGAAGCUGAGGUCCAGCCUCUCACUAAUGAUUGCCACAUAUUCUCUGAAAAUGGUUUCUAUGUUUUCUGCAUCAGCGGUUAGAGAGGCAUUGAAACAGUAGAUGAGUGUAAUUUCAUUGAAUUGAACCAUGAAGGAUGUGUUGAUACGGGGAAAGGAUGGGUCGUAAGAAGUAGGGUGGAAGAACAUGCAAAGAAACUUGGGACCAGUAGUGACGAGGAAGGAGUAGUUGAGCUGGGAACGGGACAAGCAUUUUAGUUCCUUGGACCGGUUAGUCCUUCAUACUCAUGCCCAAAAUAAUCUCCUAUUGCAUUGUGUCACUAACAUUUUAGUCUUUUUCAAAGGGGCUAAUAAUAAAUGAAUUUUUUUUAUUAAUGAACAAACACAAAAUUUGUUAAUUUAUCAAGAAUUAAAAAAAAGUGUCAAUGACCAAAAGCAAAACUUUUGUUUAAUCAGGGAGCAAAAUGGAAUUUUUUUAAGCUUAAAUAUGUUUUUGGUCCCUAAUAUAUGCCCGUUUUUGGCAUCUGGUCCCUAAUAAUUUUUUCCUUCAAAUCAAGUCCCUAAUAUUUUUAAAGUUUUGUCUAAGGUCUCUGUCGUUAGUCGGGAUCCAUUAUCUGCUUGCGUGAUCAUUAACCGAACAUGUAGGCAUGUGACGUGUGGUGUCACAUGUACUCGUUGCCUGAGUGGAAUUACAUGUAGGAAAAAGUUUUUUUUUUAAUUAAAAAUGACACCGUUUCUGCAAGCUACUUCUUCCUCUUUUCUACAACUUCUCCACGCCCCACUACCACCAUUGAACAACGACCUACACCACUAAACCUCGAAUUGUGACACCAGCACAUCACCACGGCGUGAACACAGUGCACGAACACCACCAUCGUGCCCUCGUUCACGUGCGUGAACACGGUGUUGCAACUCGCAACCACCAUCUCCAUCCUUCUUCAGAUCUGGUUCACCAUCACCACACCAUUGCCUCCUUCGUCCCUAGAGAUCACCAUAGCCUCCAACAUCACAAUGCCCACCCAGAUCAAUCCCACCACCAAAUCAUCUAGUUUUCACUCAUUCUCCGUGUUCGCGAAAAAAGUCAUAACCCACCUCUGCAACUCAAGAACACACCUUCACCCGAGUCACAUCCCCAAGUUUGCUCGCUCUGACUCAGAUCCCAUUCUCAGGAAGCAGAGAUCCAUCAUAGAGAACCACUCUUCUACUGCCAACAAGUGCCCUUCCCUCGGCUUCUCCUGACAUAACUUUGAUGCCGCCAGAGAUCGAAGUGGAUGGAAGGAUAUAUGGGGAUGAUGAAGAGAUUUUUGCCAACAAAACCUCUCGUAGUGGAAGACGACAUCGUAUUGGUGGUGGUGGAAUGACGAAACGGAAGAUUGAAGAAAUUCCAGACCUUAGGUUCGGAGUGAGGCUUGGGGUCAGCUACGAACAUGAUCUCUCUCUCUCUCUCUCUCCUGUUUGGGAAACAACAACGUCUUUUGGUGUUUCUUUUUUAUUUUAUUUGUGAAAGUGGUGUUGCAGACACGGAUAUGAUGGGGGAUUAUGAACUGCAAUGGAGAAAAGAGUUUCAAGUCCACGCGUUUUUGGUUCUUCCUACGUGUAAUCCCAAUCAGCCAAUGAGUACAUGUGGUAGCACAUGUCGCAUGCCAAUGUGUUUGGUUAACAACCACGUAAGUAAAUAACGGAUUCCGACUAACGGUAGAGACCUCAAACAAAACUUUUAAAAUAUUAGGGACCUGAUUCGAAGGAAAAAUUUAUUAGGGACCAAAUGCCAAAAACAGGUGACCAAAAACAUAUUUAAGCCUUUUUUUAUUAGGGAACAAACAAAAAAUUUGGGUAUUUAUUAGGAAUCACAAACAUAUUUUAAUUUGGUUAUCUAGUUGCAACCACAUCUGUCUAAGAUAAAAUGUAACUUUGACGAGGCUUCAAAAGGUAAUCUAGGCCUUGCUUCUAAUGGAGGCAUAUUUCAAAACUCAAAUGGAGGUUUUUAUUGUGGAUUCGUAGUUCCUCUUGGCAUUUCCUCCUCUUUGCUGGCCGAGCUUCUUGCAGCUGUUACUGCCAUUGAGUUUGCACAUGCUAAAGGGUGGAGGAACCUCUGGCUGUAAUAUGACUCAUCUGCUAUCCUUGAAGCCUUUGAAUGUUCAGAAGUCGUUCCUUGUUGGAAUUUCUUAAACAGGUGAAAUAAUUGUGUUCAUCUAACGACUAACAUGAAUUUUAGAAUCUCACAUUUAUGAAGAAGGUAACUCUAGUGCAGACAAGCUUGCUAACUUUGGUGUGUUUUACCCCUCUUUUUGUUGGAGGAAUUUGCCUCCCCCUUUCAUUUUGAAUGAUGUUGAUAGAGAUAGCUCCAAAUUUCCUUUUUACAGGUUUAAAUGAUUGUGGUUUCAUCCGCCUUCCAUGGAUUCGGUUUGGCUCCCCAUGGUUUUGUGUCUUGUUUUCUUUGAUAUAUCUCAUGAUUGGGGUUUUUUUUAGUUGUUUAGGGGUAUUAGUGCCAACCUAGUUGGGAUAGUUCCACUUCCUAGCUAUUGCUUCUCAUAUUUAUUAAAAAAAAUACAACUUAAGUUAUUAUACCAUCAAAGGAAAAAUAUAAUUAUAAGAAGAAAUCUUGGACUCUUAUAUAAGUGUGUGUGCACGCGCU
rnacentral:lncRNA from 1 species